ACCCUUGGAGAGUCAAAGACCAGCGUUCUCUUCCCAGAGGUGGGAAGCGGGCUCUGGAAACAUCUAGGACUAUGGAAAAGAAGCCCUCCCUAAGUCCUAGAAGAGUCGUGAAAUCACUGAGGCUGACGUUGCAGUCCCUUGAAGCAAGACCUAGUUUAUCAGCUGACUGAUUCCAUGGCUCCCACCUGCGGGGACGGCAAGAUGGACUAGCUCAGCUCUGGGAGCGGUGAGUCCAGGCACUGUCUGUGCAACUAAAGGCUGGCUAACUUUCCAAUGAGCCCACAGUGUCUCCUCGGAGGGCAAGGCACAGAAACGCAUCCCGUGGA